AUUGAACGCUGGCGGCAGGCUUAACACAUGCAAGUUGAGCGGGGGAGGUUGCUUCGGUAACUGACCUAGCGGCGGACGGGUGAGUAAUGCUUAGGAAUCUGCCUAUUAGUGGGGGACAACAUCUCGAAAGGGAUGCUAAUACCGCAUACGCCCUACGGGGGAAAGCAGGGGAUCUUCGGACCUUGCGCUAAUAGAUGAGCCUAAGUCGGAUUAGCUAGUUGGUGGGGUAAAGGCCUACCAAGGCGACGAUCUGUAGCGGGUCUGAGAGGAUGAUCCGCCACACUGGGACUGAGACACGGCCCAGACUCCUACGGGAGGCAGCAGUGGGGAAUAUUGGACAAUGGGCGGAAGCCUGAUCCAGCCAUGCCGCGUGUGUGAAGAAGGCCUUUUGGUUGUAAAGCACUUUAAGCGAGGAGGAGGCUCUUAAGGUUAAUACCCUUGAUGAGUGGACGUUACUCGCAGAAUAAGCACCGGCUAACUACGUGCCAGCAGCCGCAGUAAGAC
rnacentral:rRNA from 1 species